UCUUUCGGUUUUACAAAAAUAGAUACAAUUGGGUUUUUUACUCUUUCGAGUUUCUCGUCGAUAACAAGAGCUGGAGGGCUUCUGUUCACAGAUAUCGGAUGGGCAAAACACGGUAUGCCCAUUAUCGCCAGUCGGAUGAUAUUCUGGCGGAUGCGGGAUGGCAUUGUAGUUUCUGCUUCCGGUACAUCAGCGAGUUCGUAUUCAAGAUGAAGGCUUAUAGCCAUUAUGACAGAGUGAGGUUUGCUCGUUACUUGAACCCCAAGAGAGUUCAGAGAGUGAUAUGCGAAGGAUCUGAUCUGUUUGAUAUGCUUCCGGAAGAGUACACCUUCAAGGAGAUAAUCGGAAAGAUGGGACAUAUCCCUCGUUCCUUCUCGGCCGUCCACCUUCCUUCUCAUCUCCUCGAAAACGCCGGCAAGUACAGGUUUCUCUUGCCGGGAAAUUGCGUCAGAGAAAGCGAAUGAGGAUGACGAUCAUCAUCGGUACAGAGCAAUCGUGUUUUCGCAUUCGAGUAAAAGCUCAAUCGGAGCACCUGCUGGUUCAAAAUCCUCCAGAGGAGAGAACCGGGCCGAUACAAUAAGAGACUACUGAUAUAGCUGUGCAUUUUUGGCGAGGCAUGUCGGUUCUGUGAUGCCGCGGAGUUUGAUCGAAGGGCGUUUCAGAGAAUUACAGACUUUCAGAGUUUACGCCGAUGGCCAACGUAACGCCAAAGACUCCAUGGCCCAAUGGAUAAGGCGCUGGUCUACGGAACCAGAGAUUCUGGGUUCGAUCCCCAGUGGAGUCGUCUCACUUUUUUUUUUUAUGUAUUUCAUUAGGAAUAGUUAUUUUAAGAAAUAGACAAAAAAGCAACUCAUGUUUUGUUGACAUUGAUGAUGAUAUCAUUGAGACAGGAAGCAAUAAAGAAAGAGUUUCAAAGACAAAAACACCGAAGCAAGAACCAUGAAGGAGGAACUAAGAGAAGACAUCUAACACAAAGAUGACAAACAAUAAUGGUCUCCUUCCAAACUCCAUUGCAACAAAGAGUUCAUACAAGUUCCAAAGAGAGUAUUCAAAUACAUUUUUUUUCCCCAACACACACAAAACAGAGUUCUCCUCUUUAAGUGUUUGUGGCUGCUUUGCCACAAGCAAGACCCGAACAUUUGAAGGCUCAAAGACAGGAAACAAAAAACCCAAAAAGACAAACACCCAGAAAGUUAAGUUGGCGAAGGAGACGUGUUUUCUCUUAGUUAGCUUCUACUACUCUUCCUUCCUUCAAAAUCUUGGUUGGGUGUCACCAUUCACAUCAAAUCCUUGUCCUUAGUUUCUCUCUCUCUCUCUUUCA